GCGGCAGUAGCUCAGUAGGUAGAGCGUCAGCUUCCCAAGCUGAAGGUCGCCGGUUCGAAACCGGUUUGCCGCU
rnacentral:tRNA from 1 species